CCUACGGGUGGCAGCAGUGGGGAAUAUUGGUCAAUGGACGAGAGUCUGAACCAGCCAAGUAGCGUGAAGGAUGACUGCCCUAUGGUUUGUAAACUUUUUUUAUAUGGGAAUAAAAUGUUCCACGUGUGGGAUUUUGUAUGUACCAUAUGAAUAAGGAUCGGCUAACUACGUGCCAGCAGCCGCGGUAAUCCGGAGGAUCCGAGCGUUAUCCGGAUUUACUGGGUUUAAAGGGAGCGUAGGUGGAUUGUUAAGUCAGUUGUGAAAGUUUGCGGCUCAACCGUAAAAGUGCAGUUGAAACUGGCAGUCUUGAGUACAGUAGAGGUAGGCGGAAUUCGUGGUGUAGCGGUGAAAUGCUUAGAUAUCACGAAGAAUUCUGAUUGCGAAGGCAGCUCACUGGACUGCAACUGACACUGAGGCUCGAAAGUGUGGGUAUCAAACAGGAUUAGAUACCCUUGUAGUU
rnacentral:rRNA from 1 species